CACAUGCUGUGAGCUCGAUGAGUAGGGCGGGACACGUGGUAUCCUGUCUGAAUAUGGGGGGACCAUCCUCCAAGGCUAAAUACUCCUGACUGACCGAUAGUGAACCAGUACCGUGAGGGAAAGGCGAAAAGAACCCCGGCGAGGGGAGUGAAAAAGAACCUGAAACCGUGUACGUACAAGCAGUGGGAGCACAGAGCAAUCUGUGUGACUGCGUACCUUUUGUAUAAUGGGUCAGCGACUUAUAUUCUGUAGCAAGGUUAACCGAAUAGGGGAGCCGAAGGGAAACCGAGUCUUAACUGGGCGUUAAGUUGCAGGGUAUAGACCCGAAACCCGGUGAUCUAGCCAUGGGCAGGUUGAAGGUUGGGUAACACUAACUGGAGGACCGAACCGACUAAUGUUGAAAAAUUAGCGGAUGACUUGUGGCUGGGGGUGAAAGGCCAAUCAAACCGGGAGAUAGCUGGUUCUCCCCGAAAGCUAUUUAGGUAGCGCCUCGUGAAUUCAUCUCCGGGGGUAGAGCACUGUUUCGGCAAGGGGGUCAUCCCGACUUACCAACCCGAUGCAAACUGCGAAUACCGGAGAAUGUUAUCACGGGAGACACACGGCGGGUGCUAACGUCCGUCGUGAAGAGGGAAACAACCCAGACCGCCAGCUAAGGUCCCAAAGUCAUGGUUAAGUGGGAAACGAUGUGGGAAGGCCCAGACAGCCAGGAUGUUGGCUUAGAAGCAGCCAUCAUUUAAAGAAAGCGUAAUAGCUCACUGGUCGAGUCGGCCUGCGCGGAAGAUGUAACGGGGCUAAACCAUGCACCGAAGCUGCGGCAGCGACACUAUGUGUUGUUGGGUAGGGGAGCGUUCUGUAAGCCUGUGAAGGUGUGCUGUGAGGCAUGCUGGAGGUAUCAGAAGUGCGAAUGCUGACAUAAGUAACGAUAAAGCGGGUGAAAAGCCCGCUCGCCGGAAGACCAAGGGUUCCUGUCCAACGUUAAUCGGGGCAGGGUGAGUCGACCCCUAAGGCGAGGCCGAAAGGCGUAGUCGAUGGGAAACAGGUUAAUAUUCCUGUACUUGGUGUUACUGCGAAGGGGGGACGGAGAAGGCUAUGUUGGCCGGGCGACGGUUGUCCCGGUUUAAGCGUGUAGGCUGGUUUUCCAGGCAAAUCCGGAAAAUCAAGGCUGAGGCGUGAUGACGAGGCACUACGGUGCUGAAGCAACAAAUGCCCUGCUUCCAGGAAAAGCCUCUAAGCAUCAGGUAACAUCAAAUCGUACCCCAAACCGACACAGGUGGUCAGGUAGAGAAUACCAAGGCGCUUGAGAGAACUCGGGUGAAGGAACUAGGCAAAAUGGUGCCGUAACUUCGGGAGAAGGCACGCUGAUAUGUAGGUGAAGCGACUUGCUCGUGGAGCUGAAAUCAGUCGAAGAUACCAGCUGGCUGCAACUGUUUAUUAAAAACACAGCACUGUGCAAACACGAAAGUGGACGUAUACGGUGUGACGCCUGCCCGGUGCCGGAAGGUUAAUUGAUGGGGUCAGCGCAAGCGAAGCUCUUGAUCGAAGCCCCGGUAAACGGCGGCCGUAACUAUAACGGUCCUAAGGUAGCGAAAUUCCUUGUCGGGUAAGUUCCGACCUGCACGAAUGGCGUAAUGAUGGCCAGGCUGUCUCCACCCGAGACUCAGUGAAAUUGAACUCGCUGUGAAGAUGCAGUGUACCCGCGGCAAGACGGAAAGACCCCGUGAACCUUUACUAUAGCUUGACACUGAACAUUGAGCCUUGAUGUGUAGGAUAGGUGGGAGGCUUUGAAGUGUGGACGCCAGUCUGCAUGGAGCCGACCUUGAAAUACCACCCUUUAAUGUUUGAUGUUCUAACGUUGACCCGUAAUCCGGGUUGCGGACAGUGUCUGGUGGGUAGUUUGACUGGGGCGGUCUCCUCCUAAAGAGUAACGGAGGAGCACGAAGGUUGGCUAAUCCUGGUCGGACAUCAGGAGGUUAGUGCAAUGGCAUAAGCCAGCUUGACUGCGAGCGUGACGGCGCGAGCAGGUGCGAAAGCAGGUCAUAGUGAUCCGGUGGUUCUGAAUGGAAGGGCCAUCGCUCAACGGAUAAAAGGUACUCCGGGGAUAACAGGCUGAUACCGCCCAAGAGUUCAUAUCGACGGCGGUGUUUGGCACCUCGAUGUCGGCUCAUCACAUCCUGGGGCUGAAGUAGGUCCCAAGGGUAUGGCUGUUCGCCAUUUAAAGUGGUACGCGAGCUGGGUUUAGAACGUCGUGAGACAGUUCGGUCCCUAUCUGCCGUGGGCGCUGGAGAACUGAGGGGGGCUGCUCCUAGUACGAGAGGACCGGAGUGGACGCAUCACUGGUGUUCGGGUUGUCAUGCCAAUGGCACUGCCCGGUAGCUAAAUGCGGAAGAGAUAAGUGCUGAAAGCAUCUAAGCACGAAACUUGCCCCGAGAUGAGUUCUCCCUGACUCCUUGAGAGUCCUGAAGGAACGUUGAAGACGACGACGUUGAUAGGCCGGGUGUGUAAGCGCAGCGAUGCGUUGAGCUAACCGGUACUAAUGAACCGUGAGG
rnacentral:rRNA from 1 species